AUAAACCUAGAGUAUCGUAAGUUUUGGGCGGUACUUGAAAAUAAAAAAACUAAGUGUUUUGUGGCUGUUUCUGGCCUAGCAAAACAUCGAAAAUUCAAUCAGGAAAUAAGCCUGUAGAAAGCUCUUUAGUUGCUUGUUUGGACCCGGGUUCGAUUCCCGGCGACUCCACAA
rnacentral:tmRNA from 1 species